GACGAACGCUGGCGGCGUGCUUAACACAUGCAAGUCGAACGGAAAGGCACUGCUUUUGUGGGGUGCUCGAGUGGCGAACGGGUGAGUAACACGUGAGUAACCUGCCCUUGACUUUGGGAUAACUUCAGGAAACUGGGGCUAAUACCGGAUAGGAGCUCCUGCUGCAUGGUGGGGGUUGGAACGUCUCGGCGGGUGGGGAUGGACUGGCGGCUUAUCAGCUUGUUGGUGGGGUAGUGGCUUACCAAGGCAUUGACGGGUCGCCGGCCUGGGAGGGUGACCGGCGACAUUGGGCCUGAGAGACGGCCCAGACUCCUACGGGAGGCAGCAGUGGGGAAUAUUGCACAAUGGGCGGAAGCCUGAUGCAGCAGCGCCGCGUGUGGGAUGACGGCCUUCGGGUUGUAAACCGCUUUCGCCUGUGACGAAGCGUGAGUGACGGUAAUGGGUAAAGAAGCACCGGCUAACUACGUG
rnacentral:rRNA from 1 species